AUCUAGAUGACAAGUCUCAAAUAGGACGAAACGCGCGCCCUGGAU
rnacentral:hammerhead_ribozyme from 1 species